UCCCUGAUGGUCCGAUGACUAAGACUCCAUGCUUCCAAUGCAAGGGGUCCAGGUUCAAUCCCUGGUCAAGGAA
rnacentral:tRNA from 1 species